rnacentral:rRNA from 1 species
GACGAACGCUGGCGGCGUGCUUAACACAUGCAAGUCGAACGGAAAGGCCCUGCUUUUGUGGGGUGCUCGAGUGGCGAACGGGUGAGUAACACGUGAGUAACCUGCCCUUGACUUUGUGAUAACUUCAUGAAACUGGGGCUAAUACCGGAUAGGAGCUCCUGCUGCUUGGUGGGGGUUGGAAAGUUUCGGCGGUUGGGGAUGGACUCGCGGGUUAUCAGCUUGUUGGUGGGGUAGUGGCUUACCAAGGCUUUGACGGGUAGCCGGCCUGAGAGGGUGACCGGCAACAAUGGGACUGAGAUACGGCACAGAAUCCUACGGGAGGAAGCAGUGGGGAAUAGUGCACAAUGGGCGGAAGCCUGAUGCAGAAACGCAGCGUGCGGGAUGACGGCAUUCGGGUUGUAAAACGCUUUCGCCUGUGACGAAGAGUGAGUGACGGUAAUGGGUAAAGAAGCACCGGCUAACUACGUG